rnacentral:sRNA from 1 species
CACCCCCCAACACACACUCCCUGUCCCCUUUCUCCACCCUGCAAGCUAGUUGCAUUUAGCUCACAGAGCCUGGGCUGCGACUUGAAAGAGUUUAGGCAGCAACAGAGUGACCCUGGGGGUGCUCUUGACCGACAGCCGCACCCCCGGCGUCUAGGACCUCCGAGCAGGGAUGCAUCUGGAGGUCUAGGGAAGCACUUCCACCCCCUCCUCUCCUCAACCCUGGCAGGAUGUGCCCGAAAUGCCAGCUCCUCCUUGGUGUUCUCCUUUCAGGAUUUGAAUUCAAAUCCCAUUGGCAGCCCUGAUACCGCUGGGGGAAGGGUGAGUGAGCCAUUCCUCUCCCUUGGAAUUCAUCAGAGUCAUCCCUGUAGAGCCCCCUUCCUGCCUCUCAAUUCCUCCUGCCUCACUUCCCAGGCUACUGCUGCUUCAAGACAGUGACGUUUCUCUCCGGUCAGCUGUCAGGAGCGCUGCUGGGUCUUACUGGGGAUCUGGCCAGCCUUGGGGGCCCUUGGAGCCCUGGCCCAGUGGAAGCUCGUGCCUGAGGAACAUGGAGGCCACGCUAAUGAGUUACUUCCAGAGUCUUCAAGAGUGCCAACUGGGACCAGGACCCCAGACCACAGCCCCCCACACCGUCCUGGACCUGGAUUCUGACUGUGGUUCCACUGUACCCCUCACCUUAAUCUCUGGUUCUAACCAGACCUGAGCCUAGACUUCCACUUUUUCCCUUACCCCUGUGAGGGCCUGGGAACACUAGGUGGGCAGGGUUUGAGCCCACAGGACCUGCACACAAACUUCCCCACCUCUUGGACUUGGGGACAGGAUCUGUGCCUCAACCCAGACCAGCUUUGUAGGGAUAUGUUCCAAGAACAGAGAAGAGUCUUAUGGGGAAGGGGGAGGAAGGGAAGUAUGAAUAUUUACCUCUGACCAAUAAUAGAGGUGCCCUGGUCCCCAAAGAAAUUGACUCCCGAAUUCCCUCCAAGCCUUACCCAUAUAGCUUUUGUUUGUUUGUUUUGAGACAAGGUCUUGUUCUGUCCAGUGCCGUGGCAUGACCACAGCUCAUGACAACUUUGAUUUCCCCGGCCCAAGCGAGCCUCUCAUUCAGCCUCCCGAGUGGCUGGGACCACAGACGCCACACACAGCUAAUUUUUAUUUAUUCGUUUUUAUUUUUUUGCAGAGACAGGGUCUCCCAGUGUUGCCCAAGCUGGUCUUGAACUCCUGGGCUCAAGUGAUCCUCCUGCUUCAGCCUCCCAAAGUGCUAGGAUUAUAGCCACCGCACCUCGUCUUGAAAUAGCCUUUUAAAUAUUCACCUCAGCUUGCCUCACAGUGGUAAAAAUAAGCAUUUUUUUGUUUUGUAGGAUCAGGGAGCUUCCAAGGCAUUUGAUACCUUUUUGAUGGGAAGAAGGGCUCUGAGGAGCUCCAAGAUACCCCAACCUCCAGGCCCUUCAUUAGGGGGUAGUUGGGUUUCUGUUUGGCCUUUCCCCCUGGGCCCCAUAGGCUUAAACUACCCCCACCCCCACCUCCGCCUCCUACCUCAGCUGGGAGCACUGUCUUCCAUGGGGCUUCCACUUCUCUCCUCAACCUGGGGAAGACCACAGGGCAGUGCCUGCCUCAGGACCUGCCUUCCCCAAAAGCUGGCUUCUUGCUCCAAGGAGAGAGCAUUGGCCCACCUGCCAGAGUCUUGCCUUUUGCCCAAAGGAGCCUGGUCUUCAGGGCUGCAUAGGAUGCAAGUGCCUUCUCUGCUUCUCACCGUGGGUGGCACUAAUUUCCUCCUUAACCAGAACUUUGUUCCAGCCACUGACCCAUUCUAACUCUUCCCCCUCUGACUCUCCUGCGCAAGGUCUGUUCCUGGUUUCCCAGAUGCAUAAAGGAAGACAUAUCCCUCCCCUGGGCAGCAAGGCUACAAUGGGAGGGAGGGAGAACAUGGGAGCAUGUGAAUAAAAUGGCAUUAAAUACUGAA